CCCCGGUAAACGGCGGCCGUAACUAUAACGGUCCUAAGGUAGCGAAAUUCCUUGUCGGGUAAGUUCCGACCUGCACGAAUGGCGUAAUGAUGGCCAGGCUGUCUCCACCCGAGACUCAGUGAAAUUGAACUCGCUGUGAAGAUGCAGUGUACCCGCGGCAAGACGGAAAGACCCCGUGAACCUUUACUAUAGCUUGACACUGAACAUUGAGCCUUGAUGUGUAGGAUAGGUGGGAGGCUUUGAAGUGUGGACGCCAGUCUGCAUGGAGCCGACCUUGAAAUACCACCCUUUAAUGUUUGAUGUUCUAACGUGGACCCGUAAUCCGGGUUGCGGACAGUGUCUGGUGGGUAGUUUGACUGGGGCGGUCUCCUCCUAAAGAGUAACGGAGGAGCACGAAGGUUGGCUAAUCCUGGUCGGACAUCAGGAGGUUAGUGCAAUGGCAUAAGCCAGCUUGACUGCGAGCGUGACGGCGCGAGCAGGUGCGAAAGCAGGUCAUAGUGAUCCGGUGGUUCUGAAUGGAAGGGCCAUCGCUCAACGGAUAAAAGGUACUCCGGGGAUAACAGGCUGAUACCGCCCAAGAGUUCAUAUCGACGGCGGUGUUUGGCACCUCGAUGUCGGCUCAUCACAUCCUGGGGCUGAAGUAGGUCCCAAGGGUAUGGCUGUUCGCCAUUUAAAGUGGUACGCGAGCUGGGUUUAGAACGUCGUGAGACAGUUCGGUCCCUAUCUGCCGUGGGCGCUGGAGAACUGAGGGGGGCUGCUCCUAGUACGAGAGGACCGGAGUGGACGCAUCACUGGUGUUCGGGUUGUCAUGCCAAUGGCACUGCCCGGUAGCUAAAUGCGGAAGAGAUAAGUGCUGAAAGCAUCUAAGCACGAAACUUGCCCCGAGAUGAGUUCUCCCUGAGA
rnacentral:rRNA from 3 species